UACGAAGGGGGCUAGCGUUGCUCGGAAUCACUGGGCGUAAAGCGCACGUAGGCGGAUUCUUAAGUCGGUGGUGAAAUCCUGGAGCUCAACUCCAGAACUGCCUUCGAUACUGAGAGUCUUGAGUUCGGGAGAGGUGAGUGGAACUGCGAGUGUAGAGGUGAAAUUCGUAGAUAUUCGCAAGAACACCAGUGGCGAAGGCGGCUCACUGGCCCGAUACUGACGCUGAGGUGCGAAAGCCAGGGGAGCGAACGGG
rnacentral:rRNA from 1 species